rnacentral:rRNA from 1 species
GAUGAACGCUGGCGGCGUGCCUAAUACAUGCAAGUCGAGCGAACGGACGAGAAGCUUGCUUCUCUGAUGUUAGCGUCGGACGGGUGAGUAACACGUUGAUAACCUACCUAUAAGACUUGGAUAACUUCGGGAAACCGGAGCUAAUACCGUUUAAUAUUUUUAACCGCAUUUUUCAAAAGUGAAAGACGGUCUUGCUGUCACUUAUCGAUGGAUCCGCGCUGCAUUAGCUAGUUGGUAAGGUAACGGCUUACCAAGGCAACGAUGCAUAGCCGACCUGGAAGGGUGAUCGGCCACGCUGGAAAUGGAAGACGGUCCAGACUCCUAGGGGAGGCAGCAGUAGGGAAUCUUCAGCAAUGGGCGAAAGCCUGACGGAGCAACGCAGCGUGAGGGAUGAGGGACUUCGGAUCGUAAAACUCUGUUAUUAGGGAAGAACAUAUGUGUAAGUAACUGUGCACAUAUUGACGGUACCUAAUCAGAAAGCCACGGCUAACUACGUG